rnacentral:rRNA from 1 species
CCUGAGAAACCCGAAAGAUCGAAUGGGGAGAUUCAUCGUCAGCGAUAACGGCGCGCAUUCGGCACGCGAUACCGGGGGGCCUCGGUCCCGCGGUACGCGUCCGGGUGUAUUUUAAUGCCGGGUAUCGUCGGCGUGCACUUCUCCCCUAGUAGGACGUCGCGACCCGUUGGGUGUCGGUCUACGGCCCGGGAUGGAGCCUGUUCUCGUGCUGCGCCCUCGUGGCGUAUUCGCGGUUCAGACGCCCGGUCGCCCGGCCGGCUACCCGGCGGUAUUCGCACGGUAUCUGGCCGCAACCAUUUGAACUGCGUCCAGCCCGUCGCAAGCGAGGCAAGCGUCCCGGAUGUACGGAUCCAAUGCCGUCGCCGGGCCUUGCCAGCUGUUGGCUGACGGUGCCCUCGGA